rnacentral:sRNA from 1 species
UCCAGUGGGCUGCGAAAAGGCACCAAAAAGUACCCGGACUAUAUCCAAAUUGCUAUGCCCACUGAAUCAAGGAACAAAUUUCCACUAGAGUGGUGGAAAACGGGCAUUGCCUUCAUAUAUGCAGUUUUCAACCUCGUCUUGACAACCGUCAUGAUCACAGUUGUACAUGAGAGGGUCCCUCCCAAGGAGCUUAGCCCUCCACUCCCAGACAAGUUUUUUGAUUACAUUGAUAGGGUGAAAUGGGCAUUUUCUGUAUCAGAAAUAAAUGGGAUUAUAUUAGUUGGAUUAUGGAUCACCCAGUGGCUGUUUCUGAGAUACAAGUGGGAUAGUAACAUCUUUUUGAGGGAAGAAUUGGCUUCCUUUCUUGAAAGUGGUGAAGGUACAGCAUAUAGCUGCAUGGAAGAAACAGUAAUCGGAUGGCUACCUUCUACAUUUUGUAUUAGGAAACAAAGUCCAUUGUAAGAGUCCAUGUUGAUCUUGGAAAUAGAAGGAUUGAAAAAAGCUAAAUUUCCACAAAGAACAAGAACUUGACCAUCUCCUUUUUGAUCUGAAGACUAGGGGACAAUGGAUAUCAUAGAGACAGCAAAACUUGAAGAACAUUUGGAAAAUCAACCCAGUGAUCCUACGAACACUUAUGCAAGACCCGCUGAACCUGUUGAAGAAGAAAACAAAAAUGGCAAUGGUAAACCCAAGAGCUUA